AUGCUCAUUAUGGUAGCACGAAUACUAAAAUUGAAGCUAUACAGAAAAAAUUAACAUGGCCCCUGUGAUGACGACAACACAGAUUCAUGAAGCAUUCCACACUUUA